rnacentral:rRNA from 1 species
GGUGAUGGCGUGCCUUUUGUAGAAUGAACCGGCGAGUUACGAUCUGAUGCAAGGUUAAGCAGAAAAUGUGGAGCCGUAGCGAAAGCGAGUCUGAAUAGGGCGAAUGAGUAUUUGGUCGUAGACCCGAAACCAGGUGAUCUACCCUUGGUCAGGUUGAAGUUCAGGUAACACUGAAUGGAGGACCGAACCGACUUACGUUGAAAAGUGAGCGGAUGAACUGAGGGUAGCGGAGAAAUUCCAAUCGAACUUGGAGAUAGCUGGUUCUCUCCGAAAUAGCUUUAGGGCUAGCCUCAAGUGAUGAUUAUUGGAGGUAGAGCACUGUUUGGACGAGGGGCCCCUCUCGGGUUACCGAAUUCAGACAAACUCCGAAUGCCAAAUAAUUUAACUUGGGAGUCAGAACAUGGGUGAUAAGGUCCGUGUUCGAAAGGGAAACAGCCCAGACCACCAGCUAAGGUCCCAAAAUAUAUGUUAAGUGGAAAAGGAUGUGGCGUUGCCCAGACAACUAGGAUGUUGGCUUAGAAGCAGCCAUCAUUUAAAGAGUGCGUAAUAGCUCACUAGUCGAGUGACACUGCGCCGAAAAUGUACCGGGGCUAAACAUAUUACCGAAGCUGUGGAUUGUCCUUUAGGACAAUGGUAGGAGAGCGUUCUAAGGGCGUUGAAGCAUGAUCGCAAGGACAUGUGGAGCGCUUAGAAGUGAGAAUGCCGGUGUGAGUAGCGAAAGACGGGUGAGAAUCCCGUCCACCGAUUGACUAAGGUUUCCAGAGGAAGGCUCGUCCGCUCUGGGUUAGUCGGGUCCUAAGCUGAGGCCGACAGGCGUAGGCGAUGGAUAACAGGUUGAUAUUCCUGUACCACCAUGAUUCGUUUUAAGCGAUGGGGGGACGCAGUAGGAUAGGCGAAGCGUGCUGUUGGAGUGCACGUCCAAGCAGUAAGACUGAGUGUUAGGCAAAUCCGGCACUCAUUAAGGUCAAGCUGUGAUGGGGAGAGGAAACAUGUUUUCCUCGAGUCGUUGAUUUCACACUGCCGAGAAAAGCCUCUAGCUAGAAGAUUGGUGCCCGUACCGCAAACCGACACAGGUAGUCAAGAUGAGAAUUCUAAGGUGAGCGAGCGAACUCUCGUUAAGGAACUCGGCAAAAUGACCCCGUAACUUCGGGAGAAGGGGUGCUCUUUGAGGUUCACGCUUCGAAGAGCCGCAGUGAAUAGGCCCAAGCGACUGUUUAUCAAAAACACAGGUCUCUGCUAAACCGUAAGGUGACGUAUAGGGGCUGACGCCUGCCCGGUGCUGGAAGGUUAAGAGGAGUGGUUAGCAUUAGCGAAGCUACGAAUCGAAGCCCCAGUAAACGGCGGCCGUAACUAUAACGGUCCUAAGGUAGCGAAAUUCCUUGUCGGGUAAGUUCCGACCCGCACGAAAGGCGUAACGAUUUGGGCACUGUCUCAACGAGAGACUCGGUGAAAUCAUAGUACCGGUGAAGAUGCCGGUUACCCGCGACAGGACGGAAAGACCCCGUGGAGCUUUACUGUAGCCUGAUAUUGAAAUUCGGUACAGUUUGUACAGGAUAGGUAGGAGCCUUAGAAACGUGAGCGCUAGCUUACGUGGAGGCAUUGGUGGGAUACUACCCUAAUUGUAUUGGAUUUCUAACCCGCAACUCUUAUCGAGUUGGGAGACAGUGUCAGGCGGGCAGUUUGACUGGGGCGGUCGCCUCCUAAAGUGUAACGGAGGCGCUCAAAGGUUCCCUCAGAAUGGUUGGAAAUCAUUCAUAGAGUGUAAAGGCAUAAGGGAGCUUGACUGCGAGACCUACAAGUCGAGCAGGGUCGAAAGACGGACUUAGUGAUCCGGUGGUUCCGCAUGGAAGGGCCAUCGCUCAACGGAUAAAAGCUACCCCGGGGAUAACAGGCUUAUCUCCCCCAAGAGUUCACAUCGACGGGGAGGUUUGGCACCUCGAUGUCGGCUCAUCGCAUCCUGGGGCUGUAGUCGGUCCCAAGGGUUGGGCUGUUCGCCCAUUAAAGCGGUACGCGAGCUGGGUUCAGAACGUCGUGAGACAGUUCGGUCCCUAUCCGUCGUGGGCGUAGGAAAUUUGAGAGGCGCUGUCCUUAGUACGAGAGGACCGGGAUGGACAUACCUCUGGUGUACCAGUUGUCGUGCCAACGGCAUAGCUGGGUAGCUAUGUAUGGACGGGAUAAGUGCUGAAAGCAUCUAAGCAUGAAGCCCCCCUCAAGAUGAGAUUUCCCAACUUCGGUUAU